AGAACCAUCGUCAAGUACCUUUAUUUCCAUCCGUGUUGCCGUGAUAUAAGGUUGUCCUAAAAUCAACGGAUAAGACGUUGUAUCUUGAACGAAGAAAUGUUGCUCCGUCGCAACAUCCCCAAUCCGAAUUUUGACAUCUGGACAAGCUCCAUAUAAUUCGCCUCGUAUGUUAUUAGCUGCUCGUAUUGCCCAUCCAUGUUCCAUAUCAAUUGGCCAUUUUUGCUUCUUAUAAAGAUCUUUAGACAUGAGAUUUAUUUCAGAACCA
rnacentral:lncRNA from 1 species